rnacentral:tRNA from 1 species
GUCCCCAUAGCUCAGAUGGAUAGAGCGACGGACUUCGAAUCCGAAGGUCGCAGGUUCGAAUCCUGCUGGGGACGCCA